rnacentral:rRNA from 1 species
GCUCGUAGUCGGAUUUUGGGCGCGUGUGGGCUGUCGGCCUCUGGUCGGACGGCAUGCGCGUGCCUUUCUGCUUGGGAGCCCCAUGGCGGUUCACGCCGUCGUGGUGGGUCACAGGCCGUUUACUUUGAAAAAAUUAGAGUGUUCAAAGCAGGCUAUUGCUUGAAUAGAUUAGCAUGGAAUAAUGGAAUAGGACCUUGGUGCUAUUUCGUUGGUUAUGGGACUGGGGUAAUGAUUAAUAGGGACAGUUGGGGCCGUUCAUAUUUCGUUGUCAGAGGUGAAAUUCUUGGAUUUACGAACGAUGAACUUGUGCGAAAGCAUUCGGCAAGGAUGUUUUCAUUGAUCAAGAACGAAAGUUAGGGGAUCGAAGACGAUCAGAUACCGUCGUAGUCUUAACCAUAAACUAUGCCAACUAGGGAUCAUUGAGUGUCAAUUUACGACCUCAUUGGCACCUUGUGAGAAAUCAAAGUUUUUGGGUUCCGGGGGGAGUAUGGUCGCAAGGCUGAAACUUAAAGGAAUUGACGGAAGGGCACCACCAGGAGUGGAGCCUGCGGCUUAAUUUGACUCAACACGGGGAAACUUACCAGGUCCAGACAUAGUCAGGAUGGACAGAUUGAAA